AGUGGCGGACGGGUGAGUAACGCGUGGGUAACCUGCCUCAUACAGGGGGAUAACAGUUAGAAAUAGACUGCUAAUACCGCAUAAGACCACAGCACCGCAUGGUGCAGGGGUAAAAACGUACCGGUGGUAUGAGAUGGACCCGCGUCUGAUUAGGUAGUUGGUGGGGUAACGGCCUACCAAGCCGACGAUCAGUAGCCGACCUGAGAGGGUGACCGGCCACAUUGGGACUGAGACACGGCCCAA
rnacentral:rRNA from 1 species